UGCCCGAGUUUUUAACACCGGAGCACAGGCGCGUGACAUCAUGUUUAGACAGCUGGAGUUCAACCAGCGGCAUUAAUAUUUAGACCCUUCGGCUCACAUGAAGGAGAUGAUCCGAUGACCUCGUACGGCAUGUGACACCGGUCUGCUGACUCACAACAUCCAUGACUUUGGGAAAGAUAAGUGGUUGUUACGACUGUCAUAGUGUGAAGUGCAACAUGGACCUGGGGGGAUGAAGAGAGAAUUCGGGGGCUACAUUACAUACAAACCACACACACCGCUGACUGGGAUGGAAAGGAUGAGUGAACAGCUGCAAAACGAUCGUGAGUUGCCCUUGACUUACAAAGUAACAUGACUGAUGAGUGAAUCAUAUAUAAGCAAACAGCCUCAGACACCACCCUGAUGAAAUCAAGAUAAGAAGAACAAAAAUGUCCGGUGUUCGGUGACCUCAUCAUGGUGUACUGGAAAAGAGCCGUGUGGUGCGUUUUAAUUUUAAUAAUUCUUUCUUGUGUAUAUUGGAUGAGUUUUGUGCAAUUCCACCUACACUUGGCCCCAAAUUCAGUCUUGAGGCAACAGAUGC